GACGUUAGCGGCGGACGGGUGAGUAACACGUGGGCAACCUGCCUGUAAGACUGGGAUAACUUCGGGAAACCGAAGCUAAUACCGGAUAGGAUCUUCUCCUUCAUGGGAGAUGAUUGAAAGAUGGUUUCGGCUAUCACUUACAGAUGGGCCCGCGGUGCAUUAGCUAGUUGGUGAGGUAACGGCUCACCAAGGCAACGAUGCAUAGCCGACCUGAGAGGGUGAUCGGCCACACUGGGACUGAGACACGGCCCAGACUCCUACGGGAGGCAGCAGUAGGGAAUCUUCCGCAAUGGACGAAAGUCUGACGGAGCAACGCCGCGUGAGUGAUGAAGGCUUUCGGGUCGUAAAACUCUGUUGUUAGGGAAGAACAAGUACGAGAGUAACUGCUCGUACCUUGACGGUACCUAACCAGAAAGCCACGGCUAACUACGUGCCAGCAGCCGCGGUAAUACGUAGGUGGCAAGCGUUAUCCGGAAUUAUUGGGCGUAAAGCGCGCGCAGGCGGUUUCUUAAGUCUGAUGUGAAAGCCCACGGCUCAACCGUGGAGGGUCAUUGGAAACUGGGGAACUUGAGUGCAGAAGAGAAAAGCGGAAUUCCACGUGUAGCGGUGAAAUGCGUAGAGAUGUGGAGGAACACCAGUGGCGAAGGCGGCUUUUUGGUCUGUAACUGACGCUGAGGCGCGAAAGCGUGGGGAGCAAACAGGAUUAGAUACGCUGGUAGUCCACGCCGUACACGAUGAGUGCUAAGUGUUAGAAGGUUUCCGCCCU
rnacentral:rRNA from 1 species